UAAUUUAUUUAUUAUUAAUUAGUAAGAAUUUUUUUGGGAAUAAAAAAAGUAAUUUUUAUUUUAUUAAUAAGUAUGAAUAAAUUAAUUUAAUUAUAGUGAAUUAGUAUUGAAAAAGAUUUAAUUUAUUUUAUUUAAAGAAAAAUUUAAUUUUUGUACCUUGUGUAUCAGGGUUUAUUAAUUAAAUUUUAUUAAUUUUAAAUUUCUCGAACUUAAAAGAUCUAUGUUGAUAUAAUUUUUAUUGUGUAAUAAAUAUUAUCCAUAUCAGUAUAGAAGUGAAACAUUAUUCGAUUUUAAAUAUAUCUAGUUUUUAAAGAAAAAAAUUUAAUUUUAUUUUUAUUUAAUAUUUAAUUUUAAUUAAUAAAUUAAUAUUAGUAAAAUUUUAUAUUUCAGGGGAUGAGCUUUGAAAUAAAUCAAUAUAAAUUAUGUUUUAGCAUUUAGUAAGUAGAAUUAUAAGUUUUUAUCUUUAAUAGUGUUUUAUAACUAUUUAAUUAAAAAAUAUUAUUUAUAUAACAUACACAUUUUAUAUGUUUUAUUUAAAUAUAAGUUUUAAUAUUAGAAAUUUAGUAAUAAUGAUAAAAUUAGUAUAAUAAUUAAUUUGUUUAUUUAAUUUAAAUAUUUUAGGUUUUAUAAAAGAAUUCGGCAAAUAUAUUUUUCACCUGUUUAUCAAAAACAUGGCCUUUUGAUUUUAAUUUAAGGUCUAACCUGCUCAAUGAGUUUUAAAUAGCCGCAGUAUCUUAACUGUGCAAAGGUAGCAUAAUCAUUAGUUUUUUAAUUGAAAGCUGGAAUGAAAGGUUGAAUGAGAAAAUAUCUGUUUCUAUAAAAAUUAAAUAGAAUUUUAUUUUUAAGUAAAAAAGCUUAAAUGAUAAUAAAAGACGAGAAGACCCUGUAGAGUUUUAUAUUUUUAAAUUAUAUUUUCUUUUAGUAUUUUAAAAUUUAUUUUUUUAUAGUAUUUAGUUGGGGUGAUUGGAAAAUUAAAUAAACUUUUCUUUAAAAUUUACAUUUAUAUAUGAUAUUAUGAUCCUUUAAUAAAGAUUACAAGAUAAAAUUACCUUAGGGAUAACAGCGUAAUUUUUUUUGAGAGUUCUUAUCGAAAAAAAAGAUUGCGACCUCGAUGUUGGAUUAAAAUAAAUUUUUGGUGUAGGAGCUAAAAAAAUUAGGUCUGUUCGACCUUUAAAAUUUUACAUGAUCUGAGUUCAAACCGGUGUAAGCC
rnacentral:rRNA from 1 species